GAGUUGAGGAGGGUUGAGGAUGAGAUGAACCUGUUAAAAGAGAUGAGCCGGUUAAAAAAUGAGUUGAGGAGGGUAGAUGAUGAUGGGAUGUGGCAGUUAAAAG